AACGAACGCUGGCGGCAGGCUUAACACAUGCAGGUCGAGCGCCCCACAAGGGGAGCGGCAGACGGGUGAGUAACGCGUGGGAAUCUACCCAUCUCUACGGAAUAACGCAUGGAAACGUGUGCUAAUACCGUAUACGUCCUUCGGGAGAAAGAUUUAUCGGAGAUGGAUGAGCCCGCGUUGGAUUAGCUAGUUGGUGGGGUAAAGGCCUACCAAGGCGACGAUCCAUAGCUGGUCUGAGAGGAUGAUCAGCCACACUGGGACUGAGACACGGCCCAGACUCCUACGGGAGGCAGCAUUGGGGGAUAUUGGACAAUGGGCGCAAGCCUGAUCCAGCCAUGCCGCGGGAGUGAUGAAGGCCCUAGGGUUGUAAAGCUCUUUCACCGGUGAAGAUAAUGACGGUAACCGGAGAAGAAGCCCCGGCUAACUUCGUGCCAGCAGCCGCCGUAAGAC
rnacentral:rRNA from 1 species